rnacentral:rRNA from 1 species
UACAGAGGUCCCCAAGCGUUUGUUCGGAUUCAUUGGGCGUAAAGGGUGCGUAGGCGGCGCGGUAAGUCGGGUGUGAAAUCUCGGGGCUUAACUCCGAAACUGCAUUCGAUACUGCCGUGCUUGAGGACUGGAGAGGAGACUGGAAUUUACGGUGUAGCGGUGAAAUGCGUAGAUAUCGUAAGGAAGACCAGUGGCGAAGGCGGGUCUCUGGACAGUUCCUGACGCUGAGGCACGAAGGUCAGGGGAGCAAACGGG